UGUAAAGUGCCUGAUAAAAAGGAUUAUCUUGAUAGGAUAAAAAUAAGUUCUUCUUCUUUACAA
rnacentral:tRNA from 1 species